UACGAAGGGGGCUAGCGUUGCUCGGAAUCACUGGGCGUAAAGGGUGCGUAGGCGGAUUGUUAAGUCAGGGGUGAAAUCCUGGAGCUCAACUCCAGAACUGCCUUUGAUACUGAGAAGCUUGAGUCCGGGAGAGGUGAGUGGAACUGCGAGUGUAGAGGUGAAAUUCGUAGAUAUUCGCAAGAACACCAGUGGCGAAGGCGGCUCACUGGCCCGGUACUGACGCUGAGGUGCGAAAGCGUGGGGAGCAAACAGG
rnacentral:rRNA from 1 species